GACGAGCCACACGAACGUUAUUCGGAAUUACUGGGCUUAAAGGGCGCGCAGGCGGCCCUUGAAGUCAGGCGUGAAAGCCCCGGGCUCAACCUGGGAGGUGCGCUUGAUACUCGAGGGCUUGAGUGCGGGAGAGGAGAGUGGAAUUCCCAGUGUAGAGGUGAAAUUCGUAGAUAUUGGGAAGAACACCGGUGGCGAAGGCGGCUCUCUGGACCGUAACUGACGCUGAGGCGCGAAAGCGUGGGGAGCGAACAGG
rnacentral:rRNA from 1 species